rnacentral:rRNA from 1 species
CCUACGGGGGGCAGCAGUGAGGAAUAUUGGUCAAUGGACGAGAGUCUGAACCAGCCAAGUAGCGUGAAGGAUGACUGCCCUAUGGGUUGUAAACUUCUUUUAUAUGGGAAUAAAAUGUUCCACGUGUGGGAUUUUGUAUGUACCAUAUGAAUAAGGAUCGGCUAACUCCGUGCCAGCAGCCGCGGUAAUACGGAGGAUCCGAGCGUUAUCCGGAUUUAUUGGGUUUAAAGGGAGCGUAGGUGGAUUGUUAAGUCAGUUGUGAAAGUUUGCGGCUCAACCGUAGAAUUGCAGUUGAAACUGGCAGUCUUGAGUACAGUAGAGGUGGGCGGAAUUCGUGGUGUAGCGGUGAAAUGCUUAGAUAUCACGAAGAACUCCGAUUGCGAAGGCAGUUCACUGGACUGCAACUGACACUGAGGCUCGAAAGUGUGGGUAUCAAACAGGAUUAGAUACCCGGGUAGUC